CUGCACAUAACAAAGGGCUGAAAGCCAAUCCAACUUUUUUGCUGAAGAUUCAGUGAGACAACACAGAUUGAUGUCCUUUUGCCUCUGCUACCAGGACAUCAUGCAAAAGGAGACCAAAGGAAUGGAUGAAGAUAGAAUGAGCACUGGAUUCC